rnacentral:tRNA from 1 species
GGUUGUAGCUCAGUGGUAGAGCACUUGUCUCGAAUGUGUGAGACACUGGGUUUGAUCCUCAGCACCA